UACGUAGGGGGCAAGCGUUGUCCGGAUUUAUUGGGCGUAAAGAGCGUGUAGGCGGCCAGGUAGGUCAGCUGUGAAAACUCGAGGCUCAACCUCGAGCUGUCGGCUGAAACCAUCUGGCUAGAGUCCGGAAGAGGAGAGUGGAAUUCCUGGUGUAGCGGUGAAAUGCGCAGAUAUCAGGAAGAACACCAAUGGCGAAGGCAGCUCUCUGGGACGGUACUGACGCUGAGACGCGAAAGCGUGGGGAGCAAACAGG
rnacentral:rRNA from 1 species